CUGCAUGCUCUUCUGAAAGAUUUCCUUUCCCACAUAGAUGCACAAUUUGAUAGGAUUGUAAUAAUGUAUCUAAAUUAUCUCGAACGAUUUCAUUUAUUUUCUUUGCCCCUAAGCUGCCCCCCAUAAUCGUAAGAAUCGGCUUUUGACUAGUAAAACCAAGGAAUAGUUUCCC
rnacentral:ncRNA from 1 species